UUUCCUCUCUCAGUGUUCACAGUGGACCUUGAUUUCAAAACAGUCAAUUAAGGCACGCGGUGAAUGCCAAGAGAGAAUCC
rnacentral:pre_miRNA from 12 species